GACGAACGCUGGCGGCGUGCUUAACACAUGCAAGUCGAACGGAAAGGCCCUGCUUUUGUGGGGUGCUCGAGUGGCGAACGGGUGAGUAACACGUGAGUAACCUGCCCGUGACUUUGGGAUAACUUCAGGAAACUGGGGCUAAUACCGGAUAGGAGCUCCUGCUGCAUGGUGGGGGUUGGAAAGUUUCGGCGGUUGGGGAUGGACUCGCGGCUUAUCAGCUUGUUGGUGGGGUAGUGGCUUACCAAGGCUUUGACGGGUAGCCGGCCUGAGAGGGUGACCGGCCACAUUGGGACUGAGAUACGGCCCAGACUCCUACGGGAGGCAGCAGUGGGGAAUAUUGCACAAUGGGCGGAAGCCUGAUGCAGCAACGCAGCGUGCGGGAUGACGGCCUUCGGGUUGUAAACCGCUUUCGCCUGUGACGAAGCGUGAGUGACGGUAAUGGGUAAAGAAGCACCGGCUAACUACGUG
rnacentral:rRNA from 1 species